rnacentral:rRNA from 1 species
UACGGGGGGGGCGAGCGUUGUUCGGAAUUACUGGGCGUAAAGGGCUCGUAGGCGGCCAACUAAGUCAGACGUGAAAUCCCCAGGCUCAACCUGGGAACUGCGUCUGAUACUGGAUGGCUUGAAUCCGGGAGAGGGAUGCAGAAUUCCAGGUGUAGCGGUGAAAUGCGUAGAUAUCUGGAGGAAUACCGGUGGCGAAGGCGGCAUCCUGGACCGGCAUUGACGCUGAGGAGCGAAAGCCAGGGGAGCAAACGGG